CACCCCCUGUAGUGUUCGACAGCGGUCUGGGUAUUUUCUUGAGCCUAAUCUCGACCCUGGGAGCAUGACCGCAAGGCUGUUGUGCAUGUCCGCCCCGAGCGGAAAGCCUGAUGCCAUUGCUGACUGUUCCCACUUGAACCCUCUGGUUCAAGAACGAAGGCCUGCGACGGCACCCGUGGGGGGUGU
rfam:Marichromatium purpuratum 984, complete genome.